AUUGAACGCUAGCGGGAUGCCUUACACAUGCAAGUCGAACGGAUGGGCGAACGGGUGCGGGAUGUAUCGGAACGUGCCCAGUAGAGGGGGAUAACUACGCGAAAGCGUAGCUAAUACCGCAUACUCUUGGAGCGGCCGAUAUCGGAGUAGCUAGGUGGUGGGGUAACGGCUCACCAAGGCGACGAUCCGUAGCGGGUUUGAGAGGACGACGAGCCACACUGGGACGUAGCCACGGCCCAGACUCCUACGGGAGGCAGCAGUGGGGAAUUUUGGACAAUGGGGGAAACCCUGAUCCAGCCAUCCCGCGUGUGCGAAGAAGGCCUUCGGGUUGUAAAGGACUUUUGGCAGGAAAGCGGUACCUGCAGAAUAAGCACCGGCUAACUACGUGCCAGCCGCCGCGGUAAUUC
rnacentral:rRNA from 1 species